ensembl:snRNA U6 U6 spliceosomal RNA
GUGGUCACUUCAGAAGCACAUACACUAAAAUUGGAACUAUACAAAGAAGCUUAGCAUGGCCCAUGCACAAGGAUGACAAGCAAAUUUGUAAAGCAUUCCAUAUUUUU